rnacentral:rRNA from 1 species
ACUCCUACGGGAGGCAGCAGUAGGAAUUUUCCGCAAUGGACGAAAGUCUGACGGAGCAAUGCCGCGUGAGUGAUGAAGGUUUUCGAAUCGUAAAGCUCUGUUGUAAGGGAAGAAUAGCAAGAAUAGGAAAUGGAUUCUUGUUCUGACGGUACCUUACCAGAAAGCCACGGCUAACUACGUGCCAGCAGCCGCGGUAAUACGUAGGUGGCAAGCGUUAUCCGGAAUUAUUGGGCGUAAAGCGCAUGUAGGCGGCUCUUUAAGUCUGAUGUGAAAGCCU